GUGCCAGCAGCCGCGGUAAGACGAACCGUGCAAACGUUGUUCGGAAUCACUGGGCUUAAAGGGCGCGUAGGCGGCUCGCCAAGUCGGGGGUGAAAUCUUUCGGCUCAACCGGAAAAGUGCCUUCGAUACUGGCGGGCUGGAGGGAGGUAGGGGCAUGUGGAACUUCCGGUGUAGCGGUGAAAUGCGUUGAUAUCGGAAGGAACGCCGGUGGCGAAAGCGACGUGCUGGACCUCUUCUGACGCUGAGGCGCGAAAGCUAGGGGAGCGAACGGGAUUAGAUACCCCUGUAGUCC
rnacentral:rRNA from 1 species